GAGGCUUUAGUAUAAGUUUAAGUAUAGUUUAUUUUCAAUGAAUUGGUUUUAAAGUCUUA
rnacentral:tRNA from 1 species